rnacentral:sRNA from 1 species
AGCAGCCGCGGUAAUUCCAGCUCCAAUAGCGUAUAUUAAAGUUGCUGCAGUUAAAAAAGCUCGUAGUUGAAUUUCGGGACCAAUAUGUCGGUCGUGCUUCGGUACGUACUGUCAUUAUUGGUUUCUCCCUUCUGAAGAACCUUGAUGUCAUUAAUUUGGUGUCUUGGGGAAUCAGGACUGUUACUUUGAAAAAUUAGAGUGUUUAAAGCAGGCUCGCGCUUGAAUACAUUAGCAUGGAAUAAUGAAAUAGGACGUUUGAUUCUAUUUUGUUGGUUUCUAGGAUCGACGUAAUGAUUAAUAGGGAUAGUUGGGGGCAUUAGUAUUCAAUUGUCAGAGGUGAAAUUCUUGGAUUUAUUGAAGACUAACUACUGCGAAAGCAUUUGCCAAGGAUGUUUUCAUUAAUCAAGAACGAAAGUUAGGGGAUCGAAGACGAUCAGAUACCGUCGUAGUCUUAACCAUAAACUAUG